AUGAGGAGCAGCUCAGCAGCUCUUCAGGAGUUACUCAGCAGCUCUGUACAAAGCUGCUGAGGAGCUGAAGUACCCUGCCAACCGCCAUGGAUGUGAGCUUCAAAAUGAAUCCUCAAGGCCCAGUUAUGUCUUCAGAAAUAAGAGUCCUGGACAGCAGUUUGACAGCAAUCUCAGGAGAGACUCCUAUCCAGCUAAGUUCCUCCUGAAUUCCUGACCCUCAGAAACUGUGGGAGAUUAGAAAUGUUUUCAGUUGAUAAGUUUGGGGGGCUUUUCCUUAUAUAGCAAAGGAUGGUUACUAUAGACAUUCAAGUUGUGGCUUAGCUUAAUGCAUCUGUCUUUAUCUGUCUGUCUCUUUAUUUUAGGUCACAGCAAUGCUAGUCCUGAUAGCAAGCUUUGUAGAAUCAGUCCAUGGAGAUCUGAUGUGCGUCAUGGGAACCAUAACAGGAUGUGACACAGCAGAAGUUUGUUCCUACCUAAGGAGAAAGGAGAAGCAGGAGCUCUUCGGGGAAGAGAUAAAAAAGAUAAGAGAAAGAAAAAAAAGGAAAUAUUCAGAUAUUUGGGUCCUAGCGUCUGCCAUUGGGCCACUGGGAAUGGUUGCAUGGUUUGUUCACUGUAUAUGUGUAUACUUGGCCAGAGGCUACCUUCCACCCAGCAAGCUUUGCAGCUGGCCCCAGGUUACAUCUUCCUGAGAGGUUUUACUUUCUAACUCUCAUAACACAUCUGUAUCAGUUUCCUAGAGCUUCUAUAACAAAGUAGCACAAAUUGAUGGCUUAAAACAAGAGAAAUUUAUUCUUCUACAGUUCUGGAGGAUAGAAAUCUAAAAUCUAGGUAUCAGUAAGACCAUGUCCUCUGAGACUCUGAAAUCUUUCUUUACCUCUUCCUAGUCUGAUAACAGCCAUCCAUCCUUGGCAUUCCUUGGCUUGAAUCUGCAACCAUUCCAAUUCCCACUGUCGCAGAGUUCUGUCCCUCUGUGCCUCUGUUUCAAUCCAGCCAUCUUCCAUUUUAUUAUGGGGACAGCAGUUAGAUUAGGAGGCCAAUCUACUCUAGUAAGAUGCCAUGUUAACUCGUGUUUACAGUGGUGCUAAUUUCAAAUAACAUCAACUCAACCUUAAAGGAGAGAAAAUAGUCCUAGCAAACAAGUCAGCAGAUUUUCGACAGAUUUCAAGAUUUUCAAAUUGCUCUUCAUGCCAGUUCUUUAGAGAUAGAAAGAUAUGCUGUAGGGGGCCAAAGAGAACAAAAGAAAAAUAAAUAAAAUUAUGAAUGCACAAAAAUUUACAGAGACCCUUCAAAAGAGGGAUUGGCUAGAUCCUAAUCAAUUUACAGCAAGGUGAUAGAAAACACAGGACUUGGAAUCACAAUGUAAGAAUGUGAAAUCCAUUUCUGCCCUGUAUUACCUUUGUGAUCAUGUAGUAGUUACCAAACUUCUCUAAAUCUUAGCUUUCUCAUUCACUAGAUGGAAAUUACAACAUUAAAACUACGUGCAUCACACAGUUUCUGUAAGAGUUCAGUGAAAAACAUAACACACACUACCUGUGAGUAGGAUCCGAAACCACCACUGAUACUGCACAGGAAGUAACAUAGUGCUACACAGCUCACACAUAGAGCAAAAAAAUAAUUCUUCUACAGUAAAGCAAAAGCCUCAGAGAAUGCAGUUCCUAGAGCCAACAUCCAAAUGGUUCACAAAUUAGCAACCAACAGCUGCUCCCAGUUAGCACGUUAAUACCAAUGACUGUGUUUUCACUAACAAGCCCCCAACACCUUAGGGACAGAUGACAGAGAGAAUACAGACCAGGCCCCAGCAGCUGAGGCUUAUCAACGGUACCUUAACAAGAAGAAACUGAAGAGUGAUAACAAAAGUUCCUUAAUGGGAAGGAAUGGAAGAGUGAUAACAGAAGUUUGGUUGCAAAACCCUGUUGCUUUCAGAUCUCCUUUCAGUGCAACCAUGGAGCAGGCAGUAGCAUCACUGGACAGAAACUUGUUGGAAGUGCGACAUGGCAAGCUCUGUCUCAGACAUGGUGAUCAGGGCCUGUGUUUUCACAGCAGCCGCAGGCAAAUCACUUUGCCCUCACAGAAGCUCUGUUCCUGGGUCAACUGAACAGAGACACAGAGGCCUGCUCUGCCUCAUCGCUACAUCACGAUCCUGAUGUCCAGAUGAGCAGAAGCAGAUGAACAGCAGCAGCCUUUGGAAUGAAAAUCUCUCUGGGUCGCAGCUUGCUGCAUGCCACAAGAGCACCUGUUAAGUAAGCUUCCUGGUAGAAACUCUGAUGGGGUUGGAUAUUCUCAAGGCUUGCUUUGUUCAGAGGAUGAAGUGACAUACAGAAUAUUGGGAAAUUGCCUCAAUCACGUCCAGUUUACCACACCUGCGUUCUAACAGCAAUGGGCAAGAUUUCUAGCAAGCAGACUGGCAAAUUCACAGAUCCAUAGCAAUCUGAGAUUUCCCAUAGAAGUUAUUUUAGAAAUGCCAAGUAUCUUGUUUAUGUUAAACCAAGAACUGAAAUGUUGAUUGCCACAUUCACCACCACAGAGAAAACACAGACUGAAAGGCUUUCACAUUUUUGAUAGACUAGGCAAAAAAGGAACAGUCAUUAAUCUUGCUGAAACUCUAUAAUAUAGAAUUAUUUAAGUGGCUGUGAAAGGAAAUAAAAUAUGCUAUAGAGAACAGAAAAAUAGCUUUUAGGGAGAUGCCUUGCUUUUUAAAAAAUGAGUCUGUGAUUUUACAAUAAUGACAUAAAAGCUAAAAUGUUAUUUCCUAGUCUUUAUUACAUUUAGCUGCCAUUGAAACCAAAGUAAUGGAAUAGUUAUAUUUGUAUGUGUAAAAUAACUACAAAUUAUCCAUUCAUCACAAAACAUUUUAUCCCUUAUCUAUUUAGAUAUAAUUGUAGCCUUGCUUUCUUACAUUUUAGAUAAUAGGAUGUGGAUUAAUAAAAAUUUCAGUUAAGUAAAUUAUUUUCUGCUUAGUCUUGGUUUUAUUCUGUCCCCUGUUCUUUGGUGCUAAACUGGGCAAAAAGCAUGUAUCUUGGCAACAUAAAUUUUC